ensembl:lncRNA
UUUUUUUUUUUUUUUUUUUUUUGGUCUUUUCUAGGGUCACACCCACGGCAUAUGGAGGUUCUCAGGCUAGGGGUCUAAUCAGAACUGUAGCCGCCAGCCUUCGCCAGAGCCACAGCAACACCAGAUCCAAGCUGUGUGUGCGACCUACACCACAGCUCACGGCAAUGCCAGAUCCUUAACCCACUGAGCAAGGCCAGGGAUCAAACCCGCAAUCUCAUGGUUCCUAGUAGGAUUCGUUAACCACUGCGCCAUGAUGGGAACUCCUAUACUCGUAUUUUUAAUAUUUAUUUUUAUAGAGAACAGAAAGUGUUUAUUGAGAACUCAUAUCAAGCACAGCACAGUACCAGGUACUUUGAAAGAUAAAAAAAAAAAUCAUUCAUUCUAUGAGUAUUUAUUAAGUAUCUAAAAUGAUUCUAGGCUGAGUACUGGAUGGCAGGAAUAUAGUGAUAAAGGUGAUAGCUAUGGUCCCUGCCUUCACAGAACAUAUAUUCUAGUAAGAAAGAGAAAAAGCAUAUACCCCCAAAAACAGUAACCUCAGACUUUAAGAAGCCAAUUGGACUGACAAAACUAAGUGUAAUAGUCAUAAAGAGUACAUAUGUUGGAGAAUAUUGUGAUAAGGUGGUUCAGCAAAGAAAAGGAACUGUGUGAGUUGAAGCAUUCUGGGUGUUAAACAGAGGUAAGAAAAUAUGUGGAAUUAAGGUUUUGAAGAACUGUCACUUUGAUAAAGGGCACAGCUAUGGGAAGGACUUGGAGCAGUAAUGAGAAUAAUAUGUUCCAGUGCAUUCACUACAAUAUAAUACAAAAACGUGUCCCAAUACAGCAUGAACACAGAGGAGUGUCAAAAAACAGAAAAGCUGGCUGACACCAGAACCGGAAAUGUGUUGUUCGAACCUUGUUAUUAAAAUAUCAGACAGUGAGUGGAAUAGAAAAAAAGCCCCGUCUAGGAUUCACAAGAACAACCAGUCUCGGGUCCUUGGGCAAAAUCACUUGGCUCGGAGUCUGUCUUCAUCCUUAGUUUUAAACAAAAAGGUUGAAUCAUUGAGUCAUCUUCCCAUGUAAAUACCCUAAGGUUCUGGGUACAAAUUGCUUCUAUCCCAAAGCCAAAUAAAUAGGAUUCCAGUCUCUGGAUGAAUCCAACAAAUAAGUCCAAAAAAUGCAUCCAACAAUGCUAUUCUUUGUGGCAACCAGUUCAACAGGACAGGCACUGGACAGGUAAAGUGACAGAAAGCUUUUAUUCAUAAUAAGAUGAAUCUGCUCUUCCAUAAUCCACCGUGUUUAAAGUUUAAAACUCUAGAAUGGCUCUGUCCAGUUGCUCUUUCUGCCAUGAUAAAAUAUUCUAUAUCUGCUCUGCUUAGUUCAAUAGCCACUGGGCACUUGAAAUAUGGCUACUAUUGCCAGAGAACUGAAUUUAUUAUUUAUUUUAUUGCAUUGCAUUGCCACAUAUGGCUAGUGGCUAUAGUAUUGGACCGCCUCGCUCUAAAGCAACCCAGAACAGACUUAUUCCUUCCAUGUGACAGCUCCUCACACAGGUGUGAUAGUUCAUUAUUGCUGUCUUCCGAACUUCUCUUUUCUAGCUGGUGACUCUGAGGUGCUCUAACCUCACACAGCAUGCUUUGCAGCCCCCAUGUUCUUACUGACCACCUUCUAAUUCGCUCACAUUCAGCUCAGGUCUACAGAUGGUUUCCAGAAACCAUGAAACACCCCUGAAUUUACAUGUAAAUCUCUUCUGACACAUGUGCAUUUCUGAUGGGACAGCUCCCAUGCUGCCUUCAGAUUCAAGGAAUUCCUGGAGUUCCCCUCAUGGCUCAGUGAGGGAAACCUCAUGAGGUUUCAGGUUCAAUCCCUGGCCUCGCUCAGUGGGUUAAGGAUCCAGCAUUGCCAUGAGCUGUGGUGUGGGUCGCAGACAAAGCUCGGAUCCCGAGUUGCUGUGGCUCUGGUUAGGCCAGCGGCUACAGCUCUGAUUCGACCCCUAGCCUGGGAACCUCCACAUGACGAGGGAGUGGCCCUAGAAAAGGCAAAAAGACCAAAAAAAAAAAAAGUAAAAAAAAGAAAUUCCUGACCACCAGGCGAGGUACGAGAGGAAGAAAAAAAAGAAAAUGGGACAGAAAGAUACUAUUAAAGUUAGCUGUGACACAUCACCAAAUUAUUAAGAGACUGAGAUGAAAGCCGACCUUAGGACCCCCCUAGCACCCAGUUCUAUUUCUAUGUCAAAACCCCCUAGGAACUGUCACACCAAAGUUGCUUCAAUUUCUUUCUAAAACACAGCCCAUCCUUCUUCUUCUUCUAUAAAGAUGGUAACAUGUAAUUUCUAUAAAUCUAUGUGUCAUGUAAAACUGUGUCAUCUUCAGGAGAACUACGGUUAAAAGUCCUUUUUUUAAAAAAGCAUUCUUUAACAAUAACAACAACAAAAUACACUUACCUAGCUUAUUCAGAGUCUUGGAGUACUUUUUAAAUAUUCUAUGACUGACAGAACAACUUUUUUUAAAAUGCACUUCAAAAACCUUCUUGUAGUCUGUUAAAGACAUCUGUAAUUCCCUUGGUUCAGAUCCUGCUGCCUCCAUAUAGACGGGUGUAUUUUGAAAAGAUUUUUGUAUUCUGAUUGAAUUCACCUUACUAAAUCAAAGGACCUAAGAUCUGUCAAAGUAAUCUGACCUCUAUUGGCCUAAAUCAAAACAUUACAGCUAUGCCAGUGUUUAUCCUAUUUUUAAAAAACUCCAGCAAAGAUACUCUGUUACCUUAAACAGCAAUUCCAUUCAAUAAAAGAUGCAGUACAACAUAACACUAAAAUAAUUUUGCAGGUAGAUAUUGCUUCCUACCAAAUGUUAUAUAUCAAGUAAAAGUAUAUCAUCUACUUGAACAGUUGUGGCUUCUCUUUACGAUCAUCCUAAUUUAAUCCAGGCAUUAAAAUUAUGUAAGGAGACCCUUUGGCAUAUUGAAUAUUCAAGUCUACCAGUUUUCCUAGAUUCCAGGGUUUGAGGGCAUCCUUUCUUUUUCCUUUCUCUUUGUUUCUUUUCCUCUCCUUUGAAAAUGUUAAACAAGAAUGGUAGUGGCUAUACUAAUAAAAAUUCCAAACAAACAAACACAAAAGCAUAUUCCAUCCUAACAUUAUCUGUAACAAUUAACUGGAAGACAGAGCGUGAAAGAUUUGAAUCUAUCUCCUUGCAGUUAGAUCUUUCUGCACUAACUUAAGAACAUUUAUUCCUGUCUUUCCAGUUCUAAAGAAAGAAAUCACCAUGAGACAUGAACAACAGUCCCUCUAAAUCAUCCUGAGUGGCAGAACCUGGAGCCAGCCUGACCACUGGGGUCUGGGAUUGGCUCUUAAGAACUCUGCUGUGACUGUAGCAACAUGGAUGGACCUAGGAGUUCCCAUCAUGGUGCAGUGGUUAACGAAUCCAACUAGGAACCAUGAGGUUGCAAGUUCGAUCCCCGGCAUCGCUCAGUGGGUUAAGGAUCUGGCCGUGAGCUGUGGUGUAGGUCGCAGACGUGGCUCAGAUCCUGUGUUGCUAUGGCUCUGGCGUAGGCCAGCAUCUGUAGCUCAGAUUAGACCCCUAGCCUGGGAACCUCCAUAUGCCCCAGGGGCAGCCCUAAAAAAACAAAAAAAAAAAAAGAAAAAAAAAAAAAAAAAAAAGAAAAGAAAAAAGAAAAGUUCUGAGCAUCCAUUAACUUCUAUAACAUAUCUUUCCAACUUUUUAAAAUGUAAAAAUAAAUGUAUCAGAAAAGGACACAAACGAUUAAAAGGAAAAUUGUCAAAUGUUCACAAAAUGAAUCCUCAUCAACUCCCAGGUUGUAAAACAGAGCACUGUCAGAACCUGAGAAGACCCACCAUGCUUGCUCCAAGUCACCACAUCUCCCCAAAGUAUCCCUCUAUUUUGACUUUUAAAACCAAACAUUAGUUUUGCCUAUGUUUAAACUUGUGGGAAUCAUCCAAUAUACACUUUUUUUGCACCUGGCUUCUUUUUCCCAUAAUUACGUUGCUGCGUGUAACAGUCAUAGCUCAAAUACUCAAGUUUUAUAACGUGUCGUUAAAGAAUGCCUUCCUCAGCCACUAGAGUUAGUUCCAGAGUUGCGACUCUUAAUAAAGUUUUACCUUCUAUUAGACUUUAAAUCCAAAGCCAGAAACUAUGUCAAAAAGAGUAAACAGAUUCGAUCUGAGGAAUAGGGAAGACGAUUUUUUUGACCAGGUAAAGUAUAUCGUUGCACAUACAAGAAAGCAAAGACCUUUUAUUACACUGAAAAAAAGUAAUAAUAAUGUACUAUAUUCAAAAAUUUUUGAAAGUUUGAUUUAAAAGCACUCAUACAGAAAUACACUGCAUUUUGACUGUGGACCAAAUCAAAGCACAUACAUCAAAAUUAUAUGAUUUUGAUGAACCUACUUUUUUUUUUUUUUUUUUUUUUUUUAGGGCCUCACCCGCAGCAUAUGGAGGUUCCCAGGCUAGGGGUCAAAUCGGAGCUGUAGCUGCUAGUCUACACCACAGCCUCAGCAACGCCAGAUCUGAGCCACGUCUGCGACCUAGGCCACAGCUCACGGCAAUGCCAGAUCCUUAACCCAGUGAACGAGGCCAGAGAUUGAACCCGAAUCCUCAGGGAUACUAGUCAGGUUCUUAACCUGCUGAGCCA